AUGAGCGACAGCGAUGUCGACGAGGACGAGCUCCUCCAGAUGGCGCUGCAGGAGCAGGCCGCCCGGGACCUCAGCCACCAGCGCCCGGCCGGCGCGAACAAGCCCGUCGUCAACCUCGUCCGCCCGCCCGCCAACGCCCGCGGGGGCGCCAAGGCGCGUCAGCCCAGCCGCGGCGGCGACGAGGAUGACGACUCCGAGGUCGAGAUGCUCUCCAUUUCCUCCGGCGACGAGGACGGCGCCCCCGCCCGCGAGCGCGGGCCCCCGCCGCCCCGCGGGGGCGGCCGCGCGGGUGCUCGGAGGGCCGCGUCGCGGGACGACGCUGAUCUCGACGACGCCGAGCCCAGGAGCUGGAAGCGUGUCGACGAGGCUGAGCUUGCUCGCAGGGUUCGGGAAAUGCGUGAAGCAAGAGCAGCGCCUAGUAUUCAAGCACUUGAUCAGAAAGCGGCAGCAGCAGCAGCAGCUCGAAAGGCGCUCUCAAGUGUACAGACUUUACCUAAAGGCGUGGAGGUUUUGGAUCCAUUAGGCCUUGGUGUUAUGGACAAUAAGUCCCUGCGGCUAAUCACCGAAGCUUCAAUAAGUUCUCCAGUUUCAAGGGAGAAGUCCCAGGGUUUGGACCCCAGUAUGCGAGAGAAAGUUAUAUAUUCUUCUCCUCGUUUUGAUCCCAAGGUUUUUCUUUCGUGGGUCCACAAAGAUACAAGUGCUGCUGAUUUGGAGUCUGGUGCUCUUACCUUGAAAACUGAUCUCAAAGGGAGAACACAGCAGAAAAAACAACUAGUCAAGGAGAAUUUUGAUUGUUUUGUCUCCUGCAAAACCACAAUAGAUGACAUUGAGUCGAAGCUGAGACAGAUAGAAGAUGAUCCUGAGGGUGCAGGCACAUCUCACUUAUAUUCAGUCACUCAAAAAAUGAGCGGUGUGGCAAAUCGUGCAUUUGAGCCUCUAUUUGAGAGGCAGGCCCAAGCUGAGAAGAUCAGAUCUGUUCAAGGAAUGCUUCAGAGAUUCCGGACAUUAUUUAACCUGCCAAGCGCAAUUCGUGGCAACAUUAGGAAAGGAGAGUAUGAUCUAGCUGUCAGAGAGUACCAAAAAGCAAAAUCAAUUGUUCUUCCUUCUCAUGUUGGAAUACUGAAACGUGUACUGGAAGAAGUGGAGAAGGUAAUGCAUGAAUUCAGGGGCAUGCUUUAUAAGUCAAUGGAAGAUCCUCAUCUCGACCUUGCUGAGCUUGAGAACAUUGUCCGCCUACUGUUGGAGUUGGAGCCUGAGACUGAUCCAGUGUGGCAUUAUCUUAAUAUUCAGAAUGGCAGAAUUCAUGGAUUGUUUGAAAAGUGUACCGUAGAUCAUGAAGUGCGAAUGGAGAUUUUGCAAAAUAAAAUACGUGAUAAAGUGCUAUCUGAUUCAAAAUGGAGGCAGCUGCAACAAGAGUCGAAUAAAUCAUUGGAAGUUGAUUCUGCUAUUGGUGAUUCUUUUCAAGAUGAUCAAUUGUCAUCAAGCUUCAUGGUUGAAGAGGCUGAUAGUUUAAGGGCAACUUACAUACGCAGGUUAAGUGCUGUACUUAUCCAGCAUGUUCCAGCAUUCUGGAGAUUAGCUUUAUCUGUCUUCAGUGGAAAAUUUGCAAAGGCAGCUGCUGGCAAUGCACUUGCUGAUUCUGAGAUGAAUGCAAAAUCUGGUGCAAAUAAGAUUGAUGAUAAAGGUGCGGAGGCGAAGUACACAAACCAUAGUCUUGAUGAGGUUGCUAGUAUGGUUUGUGCUACUGUAUCUGUUUUCGACACGAAGGUUCAGAAUACUUUUCGUGAUUUUGAGGAAUGCAACAUUCUUCGUCCAUUUAUGGGUGACACUAUAAAAGAAAUAGCUAAGGCUUGUCAGACCCUCGAGGGGAAGGAUUCAUCCCCGACUGCUGUUAAAAUGUUGCAUGCCCUUCAUACUGAAAUGACAAAGCUCUACAUUCUUCGACUUUGUUCGUGGAUGCGGGUAACAACUAAGGAAGUAUCAAAACAUGAGACUUGGGUUACUUUGUCAACCCUUGAGAGAAACAAGUCUCCUUAUGCAAUUUCAUGCCUGCCCUUGGAGUUCCGUGAAAUCACAAUUUCCGCAAUGGACCGGAUUGAAUUAAUGAUCUUUAAUCUCAGGAAUGAGACUGCCAAGUCUUACGACAUUACUCGACAGCUUCAGGAAAUCCAUGAGUCUGUUAGACUUGCGUUUCUAAAUUCUUUUCGGGAUUUUGCAGGUUAUCUGGGGACAUUUGGAGCGGAACUAGCUCAGAGUAGAUCAAAUAAAGAAAACAAUCAUGUGCAAAAUGGGUAUAUGAAUGGUACUGAUAGAGAAUCAUCUGCUAGCAUGGAUGGAGGCUUGCACAAGAAGCUAUUGGUUGUUUUGAGUAACAUUGGAUAUUGUAAAGCAGAACUUUCAGAUCAACUGUAUAACAAAUAUAGGCACAUUUGGUCUCCGAUCAGGGAUAAUGAUGAACGUAGUGCUGAUAUGCGAGAUCUGGUGACAUCCUUCUCUGGACUUGAGGAUAAAGUCCUCGACCAAUAUACUUUUGCAAAGUCAAAUGUGAUCAGAAAUGCUGCACAGAACUAUCUGUUGGAUUCUGGGAUUCAUUGGGGAGCAGCACCUGUAGUGAAGGGCAUACGGGAUGCAACUCUUGAUUUACUGCACAUCCUUGUAGCUGUACAUGCCGAGGUAUACUCGGGUGCUAGGCCUUUGUUGGAGAAAACGAUGAAAAUUUUGGUCGAGGGUUUGGUCGACAUCUUUCUUAGUCUUUUUUAUGAGAACAAGGCCAAAGAUCUCAGAAUGUUGGAUGCAAAUGGUUUUUGUCAGCUCAUGCUUGAGCUCGAGUAUUUUGAAACCGUGUUAAACACAUACUUCUCUACUGAGGCACAACAAGCUCUGAAAUCUUUGCAAGAGAGUUUGUUGGAGAAGGCCUGUGAAAGUAUGGGUGAAGCCUCGGAGAAUCCUGUAUCAGAUGAUAAACAAGUGUCAUCAGUAUCACCCGAUGAUUUGCUUGCUCUUGCUCAGCAACACGGCAGUGAUCUGCUGCAAGGGGAGCUGGAGAGAACCCGAUUAAAUAUAGCAUGUUUUAUGGAGCCAACUCUUCAAUCAGGCUCGAAAACUUCAGCUUAUUCGUCUUACCAGGCACCAGCCCCAGCUCAAGUCUCCUCCCCUAGUUUUAGAAGGCAGCAGACAAAUUCUCCUAUAGUCUCUAGAAGACGCCGAUGA
rnacentral:rRNA from 1 species